AGAGUUUGAUCCUGGCUCAGAACGAACGCUGGCGGCAGGCCUCAAACAUGCAAGUCUAGGGGGCGUAGCAAUACGUCACCGGCGGACGGGUGCGUAACACGUGGGAAUGUACUUACUGGUUCGGAACAACUGCGGGAAACUGCAGCUAAUACCGAAUGAGCCCGAAAGGGGAAAGAUUUAUCGCCAGGAAAUCAGCCCGCGUUCGAUUAGCUAGUUGGUGAGGUAAUGGCUCACCAAGGCUACGAUCGAUAGCUGUUCUGAGAGGAAGAUCAGCCACACUGGGACUGAGACACGGCCCAGACUCCUACGGGAGGCAGCAGUUGGGAAUCUUGGACAAUGGGGGAAACCCUGAUCCAGCCAUGCCGCGUGAGUGAUGAAGGCCUUCGGGUUGUAAAGCUCUUUUACCCGGGAAGAUAAUGACUGUACCGGGAGAAUAAGCUCCGGCUAACUUCGUGCCAGCAGCCGCGGUAAUACGAAGGGGGCUAGCGUUGUUCGGAAUUACUGGGCGUAAAGCGUGCGCAGGCGGCUUCUCAAGUCAGUGGUGAAAGCC
rnacentral:rRNA from 1 species